AACGAACGCUGGCGGCAUGCCUAACACAUGCAAGUCGAACGAGACCUUCGGGUCUAGUGGCGCACGGGUGCGUAACGCGUGGGAAUCUGCCCUUUGCUUCGGAAUAACAGUUAGAAAUGACUGCUAAUACCGGAUGAUGUCUUCGGACCAAAGAUUUAUCGGCAAAGGAUGAGCCCGCGUAGGAUUAGGUAGUUGGUGGGGUAAAGGCCUACCAAGCCGACGAUCCUUAGCUGGUCUGAGAGGAUGAUCAGCCACACUGGGACUGAGACACGGUCCAGACUCCUACGGAGGCAGCAGUGGGGAAUAUUGGACAAUGGGCGAAAGCCUGAUCCAGCCAUGCCGCGUGUGU
rnacentral:rRNA from 1 species